rnacentral:rRNA from 1 species
GUGCAGCAGUUGCGAAAACUUGUCAAUGCACGAAAGUGUGAACGGGCUACCCCGAGUGCCGUCCGCUGAGGAUGGCUUUUCUCUGCUGUAAGAAGGCAGAGGAAUAAGGAGAGGGCAAGUCUGGUGUCAGCCGCCGCGGUAAUACCAGCUCUCCGAGUGGUAGGGAUGAUUAUUGGGCUUAAAGCGUCCGUAGCUGGCCUUUCAAGUCUCUUGUUAAAUCCAGCGAUUCAAUCGUUGGACUGCGGGAGAUACUGUUAGGCUAGGGGGCGGGAGAAGCCGACGGUAUUUCCGGGGUAGGGGUAAAAUCCUAUAAUCCCGGGAAGACCACCAGUGGCGUAGGCGGUCGGCUAGCACGCGCUCGACAGUGAGGGACGAAAGCUGGGGUAGCGAACCGGAUUAGAUACCCGGGUAGUCC